GCCUCCAUAGCUCAGUGGCAGAGCAUCUGUUUUGUAAACAGAGGGUCGUGGGUUCGAAUCCUGCUGGAGGCU
rnacentral:tRNA from 1 species